AAACAAGCUGUGAAAAGAAGAGUAGAUAGGCAUUGUUCAAAACAGAGAUCUCCGGUAGCUGAGAAGGAGAUGACGUGCCUAUCGAAGAAAGACUUGGAGCUUCGUUAUGGAAAAUAGCGACGGGUUCUCCCGUUAUAGAGGUAAGGUAUACCUAUGUGUACCUAUUGAGAUUGAUAUGGUGACGUAUCGAUAAACUGAGAUGGUACCGCGACUAACUUUCGCCCUCGAG
rnacentral:ncRNA from 1 species